ACUUCUCCGCUGCGUCAAACCACAUUUACCAAACUAUAUCCAGUCACAUAGUAUUGAAGAAGCUCUCAAAAACACCCAGAGAAGGGCAACAAGAGUACUUCUUGAUAUCAGACAUUAAGAUAGGAAAUAUUGCAUAAGGGACUCACUCUAGGCCCAGAAAAGAAGAAUGCAGCUGCAGCAUAGUGAAGAUCCCACAGCGAUCCAAGCUGCCUCCACCGCUCUUCAAGUCGCAGUAGGGGGACACGCUGAUGUGGGGGAAACGCAGGUAGUUUGGGGUCAUCACUGUUCCUGUGGGCCAGAGAGGAUACGGGACCUUUAAACCUGCUCUAUUCGUCUGAACAUCUGAUCUCUCUUUACAAAAGCAUGUCUAACAAGGGGUCAGCGUACCAAUGAAAAGAGUUCCGUCAGGUUUUGAUAUGAGAACCUCUUUGGAAAGUAAAGGAAAAUGCUGGCAAUGUUUCCAGAGGGAGCUGUUCUGUGGCUGAGGAAAGUAAACAGUUGAAAAGCGAAGGGAUUCUGAGGCCAGCUCUCUCUGGAAUGCAGCAGGAACUGGAGGACCAGGAGACCCAUCCAUAAAGGGGGAGAGCACUGAGAAGCAUACACUCUCCAGCCACUGAUUCCCAUAUACGUGGCAGUUUGGGAGACAAAAAACAGCAAUACUGUUAGCCAUCCUGGUGCCCUGUCACCACACCUCUGGUGACAGAGCCCUUGCUAGGGCAGUUCCUAAACGGAGUCCUGCCCAGCCCCCUGAGCCUACAUCACAGUCAGAGCUGUGCAUAUAGGAGUCUGCACGAUUCGCUCAGGAACAGUAUGAGAGGAAGGGGCCAGUUUUCAUUGGUUCCUUCAGGAAGGGUGGAGGAUUAUUGGGGUGAGACUCACCAAUGAGGCCGGAGUAGGCAAGCAGGCAGUCGGCGUAGUUCUCCUUCAGGCAGCCGGACAGGGAGCGAUGCUCCGGCUGGCAGUUGGCGAAAAAGUCAGCGAGUCGCGACCUGAAAAGAACACACCGCAACAAGACAGCAGUGAACACCUAUGGCCUGACCCCUGACCCCUGACCGCUGACCCCCCCAGAAUGAACCAACCCACAGACGGCUACAACUAGCAUGCAUUAGCCCUGCGGUGCAGCGGUGAGAGUGUUUGCGAUGCAGCUGAUGCACAGAGGAGUGGAUUGUUAGGCUCUCACAGGAUCUAAGUGCCCCGCUUCAGUACCAGAUCCGGGGCAUCUGAGUCACCUCAUUGGCUCUCUCUGCGAUACACUGGGGCUAAAGGCAGUCUAGAGGGGUGUGCAUCCCUCCUGUUCAUCCCAGUAAUGGCCACUCAGCAAGCUUUUAAAGCAGCAGUUCCCACUUGGCCUGAUUAGCGCUAGCAGGCAGGAUGCUGUGGGCCUUCAUAAUGGGCCAAAACCCAAAGUGCAGCAAAGGCAGAAAAACAACAGGGAAUCAUGGGAAGGAAGAAGCAGGAAGCCCCCAGCUUUGUUUUUGUUUUGUUUUUGUUGCCCCCCCGUCCUAUUCCCCACACUGGAGCUUAAUAAUGUCACUGUUUCUCUGAACUGUGUCCCAAUCCAAUAACCCACAUGGCAGCACAGCACAUCAGAUAAUGCAGAACCACAGUAAUUGAUCCCUGCAGCAUGUAAACCCAUCCCCCUUCUCUCUCUCUCUCUGUCUCUCUCUCACACACACACACACACACACACACACGCGCCCCUCCAAUUUGGCUCCUGCAGUCAACAUGGCAAAAGCUGAAUUUAAAUGUCCCCGUUUGCCCUGGGGACAAGUCUCUGGUUGCAGACGUACACUGCUCCAUGGAUAUUGCAUUACGAAGAGAUGAAUUUCUUCUGUCGGUGGUUUCAUUACCUAUCAAGCAGCGGAGAGAUCAGGCUGUAACAGGAGCCCCCCCACUGGGAAGGAGAGAGGAGAGAAUGAGAGAGGGGCUCGCUUAUGAUGCCUGCAAAUAACACCCCCUCGUUCCACUUAAUGCAAAAACAUCCGCUCUCUGAUAAACCACGAUGCAUUACUGAAAGGGGCUGCCGAUUGUCAUCCCAGCAUGGUGCUCAGUCAGCUCCUCAGACCAGAAACCAGAAGCAUACCGCUGAGAUUUAGCACAGAGCAAAUCUGUUAUACUACUAAAUCUGAAAUUAUUAAGGUGAAUGAAUUGGUCUCUGUGGUCCUGUUGGCAGUCUUAAAGCUUAUUGUAUUGAUGGUCUGCAUAUCUAUUUGUGCGUGUGAGUGUGCGUGUGCGUAUGUGUGUCUGUGUGUGUGUGCAUACGUGUGUGUGUGUGCAUUUGUGUGGAUGAGCAUACAUACCUGAGGUGCGUAAUAAACUAAACAACACACACACAGUUAAUAAUAAAUUGUAAUAUAUUUUUUUAUAUCUAAAUUGAGACUUUUUAAAGUCAGUCUGAAGAAAUCUCUUAAUCCUACUUGCAAAGGUGUACCCCAGAGGUCCAUCUUUGAACCACUGCUUUCCUUCUGAAUCAGGUCGUUUGGUCCCUCAGUCUCUUUUUCAAGCGUUAAUCCCUCCUCAUACCUAUAACUCAUGGAUCUCAGCCCACUUUUACCUCUUCUUCACACCAGUUCUUCACAAACCUUAAAAAACCAGUCUGUCUUUGUUAUAACCUCGGACUAGCAUGCAGUACUCUACAUCUCUUCCAUCUCAUAGCAUUGACCUGAAGUUUCCAGUUCAACCGCUUGCCAGCCAACCACCAACAAAUCUGCCUGUUCCGAAGGACCAGCAGCCAUCCAGCAAUAGCUCCUCAUGGUCGACUCUGCUUUUGUGGCUGAGAGAAUCUGUCAUGCCCAGUCGACCACCGCACACAGGAAUGCCAUGUCUUUAUGCACUGAACCACAGUAUGCUCAUAACAACAGUGCAUAAAGCCUGUGGGAUUAAAAUGGCAACAGCUGCAGACUAGGCAAUAAAACAGAGCGUGCAAUUACCUGACAUUGCAAUUAACAGCAAGGAAAUGAACAGAAACAACGCUUGUGCUUUUCAGCUCCUGAAAAACGCUUCAUCUCACUGUAAUUGGUAGGUUGCUCUGUAGGUAAUUGCAACUUAACAUUAAUUACUGAUUUAAUUAGCAAUUUAAUGUUGCGCUGUUGCCAUGUUUUACCGUAUUAUAAGCCUCUUAUCCUCAGCUGUAAAGUGCAUUCAAAGUGCAUUUAUUUCAGUUUUUUUGGGUCAUAAUUGUAUAUCAUUAUGCUCAAUAUUGAUGGGUACAGGAAAUUCAGUCCGUCAAUGUCAGACUCAGCCAGAUGACAUUUCACCUCUCAUGUCAAUCAUUUUCAGUGUGACGAUAGAAGAGAAUCAUGUGGUGCGCUAAAACCACAUCUUUAACCUCUGGAAACAUUAGGCACAGAGGAGGAAGCAAAUACAAAAAAAGGCUUGCAUCGAACUAAAUACCACUACUGUAAUAAAUGGACCGGUAGCCACAUAAAACAAAUUCAGAAUUGAAUAUCAAACAGCAGCCACGGAGAAAAGGCAAACACACACACUUCAGAAGGCACAGCAUAGUUAUAAAUAUUUUUUUCCGCAUCAAAACUGACAGUGAAACAGUGGUUCUUGUGAAAUAUUAAUUUUGAAUUAAUCCUGUGAUAUUUUCCAAAUAUCCCACAUAAAACAAGCAGCUUAUCCAAAGCAUUGAGUUUUCAUCAUACACUACAUCAAACACAAAGUUACAAGCGCCCAAAAACACCAACAAUUAAUAAUUGAGUGAAUAAUGAUGAGAAUAUCCCAAUGUAAUUCACUCUUCAAAGGCAGAUCAUGAUUCAUUGGAUACUGCUGCCCUGGAGGACCAUCAAACAUAUUGGAAAUCAAAUGCAAAUACAUUUGAAUAUCUGCUCAAAUACGAAAAGACUCUCUUGAUCUUCCUCUAUUCUUUUUAAAAUCAUAGGGACAAAGGAUGACCUGUUGAAUAUCUCCUAAUCUUCCCAUACAGAAUCUGAAGGCAGGGGAAGUGUUUUUGAGUGAGAAGCAUUUUAAACCUGGUCAGUACAGAGUGUGUAUGACACACCGAUUCACUGACGAUUUUCAGAUAAGGUGCAACAGUGAUUCGGAGAUCUACUGCUAACCUUCUGUGGUGUCUCUUUUCAUACUUUCUUCCUAUUGCCUCUGCCCUUUUUUCUCUUAUCUUUUUCUCUCACUCUUUUUUUUUUGCAUAUUUCCCUUCUCUCUCUCCCUCCCUCCUUUUAAAUCUUCCCCUGUCCGUCUCUUCUUUCCUCGCUCUCCUUUUCUCCCUUUCAUCACUAUCCUUCUCUUUUCCCUCAUUCUCAUUUUAUCUCUCUCUGUCUUCCUCUUCCUUGUCCACCAGUUUGCAGGCAGAUCUUGUUCGGCAGGGGCCUUCAAAUUUAACCAAUCGUAUUCAGCCAAUUCGAUGACCAUUCAUGACCUAGGAAGCUGAUCUUCUGGAACGUGGACAUGUACACACUUUUUGUUGCAGGAUAUAUGGUAUCUGUCAUUCACCACAGAGACGGGGUCUUUGAUUGAUGAGAUUUAUUCUCAUAUCUCAUGUUUUCAACAUUUUAAGCACGCCUCUAACCCAGUUCACUGCAAUGGGCUUUUAAUUGAGUGCCUGUGAUGUGAGUUCGCAAGUGAUGGAUGCUUCCUGCCUUAUUAUUCUUGGCAGGAAUGGGGCAAAGCACCACAGGUUUGGCAAGGACCCCAAAAACAGCACUUUAGACCAUCCUUAUAAGGAAACGGUGUGCUAGUUCCACUAUAUAUCUCAGUCAGAGAAGGGAAGAGAAUGAGAGAAUGAGAUGGGGGAGACUGGAGGAGGGUGACGGAGAAAGGAUAAAAAGAUAAGCAGAAAAUGUGGGGGGGGGGUACUGAUGGAGAGAGAGAUCUUUUGGGAAGGAGAGCGCUCAUUUAAUGGUUCAUAUUUUGUUAAACAUCAGGCUGUAAGCUAUACAGCACUAGAGAGAGAGGGGCAGCUGUAUUGCAGUGGAGUGGGAGAUAUUGAGGUACAGAUUGAUUGAGAAGGGAAGAGAGGGGGACAGCGACAGCGAGAGAGAGGGAGAGAGAGGGAAAGACAGAAAGACAGAGAGACUGGGUUGUUUGGGGCCAUUAGCAGGGGCUGGAAGCAGCUGAGCGAUAUGUGGGAUAUGGGUGCCUAAUUGCAGAAGAUAUCCAUUUCCUGUGAUAUCCUCUCCCAGUGCUGAGGGAGGGAGGCAGGAGCAGAGGUUUCCAGGCAGAAAGCUUCUGGCUCAGGGUCCAUCUCUCCACAACCCCCCCCCCCCCCUCCA